UACGUAGGGGGCGAGCGUUGUCCGGAUUUAUUGGGCGGAAAGAGCUCGUAGGCGGUUUGGUAAGUUGGAUGUGAAAUCUCCAGGCUCAACUUGGAGGGGUCAUUCGAUACUGCCAUGACUAGAGUUCGGUAGGGGAGUGUGGAAUUCCUGGUGGAGCGGUGAAAUGCGCAGAUAUCAGGAGGAACGCCCGUAGCGAAGGCGGCACUCUGGGCCGGAACUGACGCUGAGGAGCGAAAGCGUGGGGAGCGAACAGG
rnacentral:rRNA from 1 species